AGAGUUUGAUCCUGGCUCAGAACGAACGCUGGCGGUAUGCUUAACACAUGCAAGUCGAACGCGAAAACUUCUUCGGAAGCAAGUAGAGUGGCGCACGGGUGAGUAACGCGUAGAUAACCUACCCUAAAGUUUGGGACAACCUUUCGAAAGGAGGGCUAAUACCAGAUAAAACUUUAAACCUACUGGUUUUGAGUUAAAAGAUUUUUCGCUUUGGGAUGGGUCUGCGUAACAUUAGCUAGUUGGUAAGGUAACGGCUUACCAAGGCUACGAUGUUUAGCGGGUCUGAGAGGAUGAUCCGUCACACUGGAACUGAGACACGGUCCAGACUCCUACGGGAGGCAGCAGUGGGGAAUUUUGCACAAUGGACGCAAGUCUGAUGCAGCAAUACCGCGUGAGUGAAGAAGGCCCUUGGGUCGUAAAGCUCUUUGUAUAAGGGAAGAUAAUGACGGUACCUUAUGAAUAAGCACCGGCUAACUCCGUGCCAGCAGCCGCGGUAAUACGGAGGGUGCAAGCGUUGUUCGGAUUUACUGGGCGUAAAGGGCGCGUAGGCGGUUUGUUAAGUUACGGGUGAAAUCCCAGGGCUCAACCCUGGAACUGCUCGUAAAACUGGCAAACUAGAGACAGAUAGAGGUGAGUGGAAUUCCUGGUGUAGAGGUGAAAUUCGUAGAUAUCAGGAGGAACACCGGCGGCGAAGGCGGCUCACUGGAUCUGUUCUGACGCUGAGGCGCGAAAGCGUGGGGAGCAAACGGGAUUAGAUACCCCGGUAGUCCACGCCGUAAACGAUGAAUACCAGCUGUUUGGGCAAUCGACCGCUCAAGUGGCGCAGCUAACGCGUUGAGUAUUCCGCCUGGGGAGUACGGUCGCAAGACUAAAACUCAAAGGAAUUGACGGGGGCCCGCACAAGCGGUGGAGCAUGUGGUUUAAUUCGACGCAACGCGAAGAACCUUACCUGGGUUUGACAUCCUCGGACCGCCAUGGAGACAUGGUUUUCUCUUCGGAGACCGAGUGACAGGUGCUGCAUGGCUGUCGUCAGCUCGUGUCGUGAGAUGUUGGGUUAAGUCCCGCAACGAGCGCAACCCUUGUCCUUAGUUGCCAGCACGUAAUGGUGGGAACUCUAAGGAGACUGCCGGUGUGAAACCGGAGGAAGGUGGGGAUGACGUCAAGUCCUCAUGGCCUUUAUAUCCAGGGCUACACACGUGCUACAAUGGCAACUACAAAGAGAUGCGAGUCCGCGAGGCCGAGCAGAUCUCAAAAAAGUUGUCUCAGUUCGGAUAACAGUCUGCAACUCGACUGUUUGAAGUUGGAAUCGCUAGUAAUCGUAGAUCAGCAUGCUACGGUGAAUACGUUCCCGGGCCUUGUACACACCGCCCGUCACACCAUGGGAGUUGAUAUUGGCAGAAUACAUUGAGCGAACCUUUCGGGGAAGCAGGUGUGCAAGCUAGUGUCGGCAACUGGGGUGAAGUCGUAACAAGGUAACC
rnacentral:rRNA from 1 species